UUUUUUUUUUUUUGCAUGUUCACUUAGUAUUAUCACUAUAAUUCCAUCAAAGUCAUAUGACAAUGUAGUCAGCUUAUCUCAUCACUUAGUAGAUCAGUUAUCUUGUAUCAUUUUUUAAAAUUCUGCAUGGCGCUUAAAACAUCUUGUCAGCGGGCGAAUGGGGAAACAUUGGUUUUUAAUGUGUACAAAUAUUGUUAUCUAAUCCAUGUUUUUCUAGUUUUGUAUUGAAUAAUUAUAACAUUAUAUUAGUGGGGCUUUUUUUAUACUGUCUUUUUUUUUUU